UGUUAUAUUGUGGCUUCUUUUGUGAAACAGAUAUUGCCUAAGAACUUUAAACAAAUUCCAUUUGUCAGUAAAUCUACAGUAAUUUAGUUUCAAGGAAAUAAUCAUUUUUCUAUUCUAAUAUUUUAAUAAGUUUUACACCUAAAACUAUCACUAGAUGAACAGGGCUUGCUCUUCUAAGCAAGCAUGAUGUUCAAAGUCAUAUGGAAAUUGUAUAAAUGUUUUAAAAUUUAAAAUAUUAAAUAACUCCUAAAAUUCACAUAUGAUAAAUAAGUACUUAAAGCAGAUAAGAAACCUGACAGACAUAUGGUUCCUGACUAUUGGUACUUACAAAGUUCUUUUUCUAGUAUGUUUACAUUAAAAUAAAAAGGGUAGGGUUUAUUGCAUUUCUUUGAUGCCAUAUACUUAACCAGAAAUCAAAUGGAAACAGUUGUUAGUGAGGGUGUGAGAAAAACAACUCUUAUUUAUAGUUGCAGGAUGUAAACUUGCAAUUACACAUUGUAAAUUAGUAUGGUUGUUUCUCAAAAAACUAAAAGUAAAGCUGCCAUAUGACCCAGCUAUACUAUUCUUAUCCCUAUACAAAAAGGAUUCUAAGCAUUUCGACUGAGUUUUUUGAAUAUUUAUAUUUAUUGUUUCUCUACUUCCAAUAAUAUCAAGGAAAUGGAAACAAAUCUAGAUCUCAAACAAUAUAGAAAGGGGACAAAAUAUUGCAGACAUGUGUAAUAUAACUUUUUCAGCAUUAAAAUAUCUUGUGAACUAAUCAAUGGAGCUGGGACAUAUUAUAUUAAGUAAAAUAAAACAUAUAAGUAUAAUUACUGUGUGUUCUGUAUUAUGUAGAGAUAUAUAGUGGGUAAUUGUAGAUCAUGAAACAUAUAGGGGACCUUGAAAGGGAAAAGGAAACCUUGGAGACAGAGGAUAAAUGUGAUACAUGUGACAUAAGAGCAGAAUGGUAUAUACUGAGAUGGUAAAAGUGACCAGCUGUAGGAAGGAAGGGAGAGAAGAGAUUUGAAAAGGAGAAUAAACAAAAUAUAUAUAUAUAUAAAUACCUUACUAAAAAUCCUUUAUUUUGUAAGGCAAUUAAAACAAAAAUAAUGAAAAACAAAACUUAAUUAUAUGACUGAGAGAUAUAAGUAUUCAAAUGCAUUUGUGAAACACAGCAAAUGGUUAUUUAGGGAUUUCAAAAUGUUAUUGAGAUGAAACACUGCUGUGGUGCUCAGGAUUGCACCAAAUGCACUCAUGAACUGAAGAGAUCUUCUUGCUUUAAUUUCUAACUAACUGAAAUUACAAAUGUACAACAACUCAUAACCAAACAAGACAUAUGAUUUUAUUUUUGGGUAGUAUCAAAAAAUAAGUAUUAGAUAAUGAAGGCCUAUAUUUUCUUAAAUGAUUUUUAAAAAUAAUUCAUUUUUGACAUAUUUUACAAAGAAAAAUGUUAUGGUUAGUUUGUUGUCAACUUGAAACACCUCUGAGGAGAGAAUUUCAAUUGAGGGAUAACCACUACAAGAAUGGCUUGUGGACAUUAUUCUAUGGGGAUUUUUUUUUUCUG
rnacentral:lncRNA from 1 species